AGGAGUAAUUUUUACCCCAUAUAAAAAUAGGUGUUAUUUUUACACCACUUUCACGGGAGUAAUUUUUACCCCAUAGUUUUCUAUGGGGUAAAAAUUACUCCCGUGAGAGAGGUGUAAAAAUUACGCCUAUUUUUAUAGGGGUAAUUUUUGCACCU